rnacentral:rRNA from 1 species
AGUGAACGCUGGCGGUAGGCCUAACACAUGCAAGUCGAACGGCAGCACAGUAAGAGCUUGCUCUUACGGGUGGCGAGUGGCGGACGGGUGAGGCAUACAUCGGAAUCUACUUUUUCGUGGGGGAUAACGUAGGGAAACUUACGCUAAUACCGCAUACGACCUACGGGUGAAAGCAGUGGAUCUUCGGACCUUGCGCGAUUGAAUGAGCCGAUGUCGGAUUAGCUAGUUGGCGGGGUAAAGGCCCACCAAGGCGACGAUCCGUAGCUGAUCUGAGAGGAUGAUCAGCCACACUGGAACUGAGACACGGUCCAGACUCCUACGGGAGGCAGCAGUGGGGAAUAUUGGACAAUGGGCGCAAGCCUGAUCCAGCCAUACCGCGUGGGUGAAGAAGGCCUUCGGGUUGUAAAGCCCUUUUGUUGGGAAAGAAAAGCAGCAGGUUAAUACCCCGCUGUUCUGACGGUACCCAAAGAAUAAGCACCGGCUAACUUCGUG